UGAGGGAAAGGCGAAAAGAACCCCGGCGAGGGGAGUGAAAAAGAACCUGAAACCGUGUACGUACAAGCAGUGGGAGCACGCUUAGGCGUGUGACUGCGUACCUUUUGUAUAAUGGGUCAGCGACUUAUAUUCUGUAGCAAGGUUAACCGAAUAGGGGAGCCGAAGGGAAACCGAGUCUUAACUGGGCGUUAAGUUGCAGGGUAUAGACCCGAAACCCGGUGAUCUAGCCAUGGGCAGGUUGAAGGUUGGGUAACACUAACUGGAGGACCGAACCGACUAAUGUUGAAAAAUUAGCGGAUGACUUGUGGCUGGGGGUGAAAGGCCAAUCAAACCGGGAGAUAGCUGGUUCUCCCCGAAAGCUAUUUAGGUAGCGCCUCGUGAAUUCAUCUCCGGGGGUAGAGCACUGUUUCGGCAAGGGGGUCAUCCCGACUUACCAACCCGAUGCAAACUGCGAAUACCGGAGAAUGUUAUCACGGGAGACACACGGCGGGUGCUAACGUCCGUCGUGAAGAGGGAAACAACCCAGACCGCCAGCUAAGGUCCCAAAGUCAUGGUUAAGUGGGAAACGAUGUGGGAAGGCCCAGACAGCCAGGAUGUUGGCUUAGAAGCAGCCAUCAUUUAAAGAAAGCGUAAUAGCUCACUGGUCGAGUCGGCCUGCGCGGAAGAUGUAACG
rnacentral:rRNA from 1 species